rnacentral:rRNA from 1 species
GACGAACGCUGGCGGCGUGCUUAACACAUGCAAGUCGAACGGAAAGGCCCUGCUUUUGUGGGGUGCUCGAGUGGCGAACGGGUGAGUAACACGUGAGUAACCUGCCCUUGACUUUGGGAUAACUUCAGGAAACUGGGGCUAAUACCGGAUAGGAGCUCCUGCUGCAUGGUGGGGGUUGGAAAGUUUCGGCGGUUGGGGAUGGACUCGUGGCUUAUCAGCUUGUUGGUGGGGUAGUGGCUUACCAAGGCUUUGACGGGUAGCCGGCCUGAGAGGGUGACCGGCCACAUUGGGACUGAGAUACGGCCCAGACUCCUACGGGAGGCAGCAGUGGGGAAUAUUGCACAAUGGGCGGAAGCCCGAUGCAGCAACGCCGCGUGCGGGAUGACGGCCUUCGGGUUGUAAACCGCUUUCGCCUGUGACGAAGCGUGAGUGACGGUAAUGGGUAAAGAAGCACCGGCUAACUACGUGCCAGCAGCCGCGGUGAUACGUAGGGUGCGAGCGUUGUCCGGAUUUAUUGGGCGUAAAGGGCUCGUAGGUGGUUGAUCGCGUCGGAAGUGUAAUCUUGGGGCUUAACCCUGAGCGUGCUUUCGAUACGGGUUGACUUGAGGAAGGUAGGGGAGAAUGGAAUUCCUGGUGGAGCGGUGGAAUGCGCAGAUAUCAGGAGGAACACCAGUGGCGAAGGCGGUUCUCUGGGCCUUUCCUGACGCUGAGGAGCGAAAGCGUGGGGAGCGAACAGGCUUAGAUACCCUGGUAGUCCACGCUGUAAACGGUGGGUACUAGGUGUGGGGUCCAUUCCACGGGUUCCGUGCCGUAGCUAACGCUUUAAGUACCCCGCCUGGGGAGUACGGCCGCAAGGCUAAAACUCAAAGGAAUUGACGGGGCCCCGCACAAGCGGCGGAGCAUGCGGAUUAAUUCGAUGCAACGCGUAGAACCUUACCUGGGUUUGACAUGGAUCGGGAGUGCUCAGAGAUGGGUGUGCCUCUUUUGGGGUCGGUUCACAGGUGGUGCAUGGCUGUCGUCAGCUCGUGUCGUGAGAUGUUGGGUUAAGUCCCGCAACGAGCGCAACCCUUGUUCACUGUUGCCAGCACGUUAUGGUGGGGACUCAGUGGAGACCGCCGGGGUCAACUCGGAGGAAGGUGGGGAUGACGUCAAGUCAUCAUGCCCCUUAUGUCCAGGGCUUCACGCAUGCUACAAUGGCUGGUACAGAGAGUGGCGAGCCUGUGAGGGUGAGCGAAUCUCGGAAAGCCGGUCUCAGUUCGGAUUGGGGUCUGCAACUCGACCUCAUGAAGUCGGAGUCGCUAGUAAUCGCAGAUCAGCAACGCUGCGGUGAAUACGUUCCCGGG